UAGGGAAUCUUCGGCAAUGGACGAAAGUCUGACCGAGCAACGCCGCGUGAGUGAAGAAGGUUUUCGGAUCGUAAAACUCUGUUGUUAGAGAAGAACAAGGACGUUAGUAACUGAACGUCCCCUGACGGUAUCUAACCAGAAAGCCACGCUAACUACGUGCCAGCAGCCGCGGUAAUACGUAGGUGGCAAGCGUUGUCCGGAUUUAUUGGGCGUAAAGCGAGCGCAGGCGGUUUCUUAAGUCUGAUGUGAAAGCCCCCGGCUCAACCGGGGAGGGUCAUUGGAAACUGGGAGACUUGAGUGCAGAAGAGGAGAGUGGAAUUCCAUGUGUAGCGGUGAAAUGCGUAGAUAUAUGGAGGAACACCAGUGGCGAAGGCGGCUCUCUGGUCUGUAACUGACGCUGAGGCUCGAAAGCGUGGGGAGCAAACAGG
rnacentral:rRNA from 1 species